rnacentral:rRNA from 1 species
UACGUAGGUGGCAAGCGUUGUCCAGAUUUACUGGGCGUAAAGAGCGCGCAGGCGGUCGUUCAAGUCGCGUGUGAAAGCCCCCGGCUCAACUGGGGAGGGUCACGCGAUACUGAUCGACUCGAAGGCAGGAGAGGGUAGUGGAAUUCCCGGUGUAGUGGUGAAAUGCGUAGAUAUCGGGAGGAACACCAGUGGCGAAGGCGACUACCUGGCCUGUUCUUGACGCUGAGGCGCGAAAGCUAGGGGAGCAAACGGGG